AUUGAACGCUGGCGGCAGGCCUAACACCUGCAAGUCGAGCGAGCGGCGGACGGGUGAGUAAUGUAUGGGGACUGCCCGAUAGAGGGGGAUAACUACUGGAAACGGUGGCUAAUACCGCAUACUAUCGGAUAACCCAUAUGGGAUUAGCUAGUAGUGGGGGUAAAGGCUCCACUAGGCGACGAUCUCUAGCUGGUCUGAGAGGAUGUUCAGCCCAACUGGGACUGAGACACGGCCCAGACUCCUACGGAGGCAGGAGUGGGGAAUAUUGAACAAUGGGCGCAAGCCUGAUGCAGCCAUGCCGGGUGUAUGAAGAAGGCCUUAGGGUUGUAAAGUACUGUCAGCGGGGAGGCGUUACCCGCAGAAGAAGCACCGGCUAAUUCCGUGCCAGCCGCCGCGGUAAUC
rnacentral:rRNA from 1 species